AUUGAACGCUGGCGGCAGGCCUAACACAUGCAAGUCGAACGCGUGGCGGACGGGUGAGUAAUGUCUGGGAAACUGCCUGAUGGAGGGGGAUAACUACUGGAAACGGUAGCUAAUACCGCAUACCAUUGGAUGUGCCCAGAUGUGAUUAGCUAGUGGGUGGGGUAAAGGCUCACCAAGGCGACGAUCCCUAGCUGGUCUGAGAGGAUGACCAGGCACACUGGAACUGAGACACGGUCCAGACCCCUACGGGAGGCAGCAGUGGGGAAUAGUGCACAAGGGGCGCAAGCCUGAUGCAGCCAUGCCGCGUGUAUGAAGAAGGCCUUCGGGUUGUAAAGUACUUUCAGCGGGGAAGCGUUACCCGAAGAAGAAGCACCGGCUAACUCCGUGCCAGCCGCCGCGGUAAUAC
rnacentral:rRNA from 1 species